rnacentral:tRNA from 1 species
GCCUCAGUAGCUCAGCCCGGUAGAGCAACUGCUUUGUAAGCAGUGGGUCGUGGGUUCAACUCCCAUCUGAGGCU